rnacentral:rRNA from 1 species
AUUGAACGCUGGCGGCAUGCUUUACACAUGCAAGUCGAACGGUAACAGGCCGCAAGGUGCUGACGAGUGGCGAACGGGUGAGUAAUGCAUCGGAACGUGCCCAGUCGUGGGGGAUAACUACUCGAAAGAGUAGCUAAUACCGCAUACGAUCUAUGGAUGAAAGCGGGGGACCGUAAGGCCUCGCGCGAUUGGAGCGGCCGAUGUCAGAUUAGGUAGUUGGUGGGGUAAAGGCUCACCAAGCCAACGAUCUGUAGCUGGUCUGAGAGGACGACCAGCCACACUGGGACUGAGACACGGCCCAGACUCCUACGGGAGGCAGCAGUGGGGAAUUUGGGACAAUGGGCGCAAGCCUGAUCCAGCAAUGCCGCGUGCAGGAAGAAGGCCUUCGGGUUGUAAACUGCUUUUGUACGGGACGAAACGGCUCUGGUUAAUACCCGGGGCUAAUGACGGUACCGUAAGAAUAAGCACCGGCUAACUACGUG